rnacentral:misc_RNA from 1 species
UACAGGGGGGGCAAGCGUUGUUCGGAAUUACUGGGCGUAAAGGGUUCGUAGGUGGCCAACUAAGUCAGAUGUGAAAUCCCUCAGCUUAACUGGGGAACUGCUUCUGAUACUGGUUGGCUUGAGUGCAGGAGAGGAAUGCGGAAUUCCAGGUGUAGCGGUGAAAUGCGUAGAUAUCUGGAGGAACACCGGUGGCGAAGGCGGCAUUCUGGACUGUAACUGACACUGAGGAACGAAAGCGUGGGGAGCAAACAGG